ACUGCUCUUCCAGAGGCAAGACCAACCAAGAUGAGUGCCCUGGGAGCUGUCAUUGCCCUCCUGCUCUGGGGACAGCUUUUUGCAGUGGACUCAGGCAAUGAUGUCACGGAUAUCGCAGAUGAUGGCUGCCCGAAGCCCCCCCAGAUUGCACAUGGCUAUGUGGAGCACUCGGUUCGCUACCAGUGUAAGAACUACUACAAACUGCGCACAGAAGGAGAUGGUAAGAUGUGGACAACUGUCUCCAUGCCCUACAUACAACCCCCUUCUCUGACAUUUCCAUGAUGGGUGGUGCUGAGGUGAUUCGCCAGAAAGUUCGUUGCUCUCCUUGGAGCCAGGAGAUUUAGAUUCUAAUAAGCGUUUUGUCGCCAGUAGCCAUGGCCCUUUGGGCAGACUAACUUUUGUCAGCCUCAAGUUUUCUGUUUUGUUAAGGGGAGGCGAUGCCAUGCAGCCUACCUCAUGUAAAUCUCAGAGUCAGAUUUACAUCUCCAGCAGAUGUGGGAAAAGAAGGAAUGCUGAUGAUGAUGUCACCCUCACCUAGUGAGUCUUGCUGUCCUGGCACUGCUCUAAGGGCUUUAUACUUAUUUGCUCACUUAGUCCUCACAGUAUCCCUCUGAAUAGAGUUUAUUGUUUUCACUUUGCUGAUAAGGAAACUGAGGCACAGACAGGUUGAGUAUCUUGCCCAAAUUCAGGCAGCCUGUAAGAGGCAGAGUCAGGAUUUGAACCCUGAGCCCUCCCUGUACUGCUUGGCUGUGACCGCCAUGACCACAGUAUGUUCUGCUGAGCUUAACUGGCAUCCAGGCACUUGGCUUCCAGCACAGCACUCUUUCCCUUCCUCCUUCUCAUAUUCUCUCUCCUUUUCCCCUUCCUUUUUGUCCCCUUUUCCUCUUCCUUUUAGUUCUUCUCUUUAAAUGCCUUCUCACUCUGCACUGGGUC
rnacentral:sRNA from 1 species